AACAUCUGAGAAACCUUGCUUGAAGUUAUCGUCCUGCAAACGCAACACAGGAAAUCAGAACAUACAUGCGUUUGGGAUUAUGUUUAUCGCUGCAGUGAGUACUAUUCUACUCAUUAUCUACAAUUGUUCCGAUCACAUCCUAAAGAUCAGGGAAAAGAGGCAGGCGAAGUCAAGAGAAGCAGCCGUCAAGAAAGCGAGAGCUCAUCAGAGAUGGAAAGGUGCUAGAGAGGCUGCAA